UACGUAGGGCGCAAGCGUUAUCCGGAAUUAUUGGGCGUAAAGAGCUCGUAGGCGGUUUGUCGCGUCUGCCGUGAAAGUCCGGGGCUCAACUCCGGAUCUGCGGUGGGUACGGGCAGACUAGAGUGAUGUAGGGGAGGCUGGAAUUCCUGGUGUAGCGGUGAAAUGCGCAGAUAUCAGGAGGAACACCGAUGGCGAAGGCAGGUCUCUGGGCAUUAACUGACGCUGAGGAGCGAAAGCAUGGGGAGCGAACAGG
rnacentral:rRNA from 1 species